CGCGUUUUUGUUCCAGCAGACACAUUUCUAUCUCCAGCAGUUCAGCACAGCAUUAAAUGGCUCAUUAUUCAAGCGGGGCCAGACUGCUGGGCGAUCUGAUAGCUCUGAAGAGCUGCCGUUCAGCAUCUCGCCCCGUGCCACCGGCAGCCAGCGCUCUCAGGGCACUGCCGCACCCCAGCUAACGCGGACCACGAGCAGAACGUCAGAUGCUAUCCAACAAGAUGCCUGACAGUGCAGCGUCUGGCAAUACGUUACCUCUAUCAGCCCAGCCGAAUCUCAAAGAGAAAGCAAUAUCAGGAUUUGCUUUAGCACAGCCUGCAAAUAUUCACACAGCUCUCACAGAAUGAGCUACUUCUGCUUGGCUGGAAGUGAAAGCUCGGCACUUGAGAAGCAUCCAUCUUACCUGGAUCGCACACUGCAUGAGAUCUGCACAUGUUCG
ensembl:lncRNA